rnacentral:rRNA from 1 species
GACGAACGCUGGCGGCGUGCCUAACACAUGCAAGUCGAACGGAAACCUCCUGCCUUGGUGCGCACCGCUUGGGGACAAGGGGGGAGCUACCCUUGAGUUACGAAUACCUCACCUAGAGGGGUCCUCAUGCCACAUGAGCUCAUACCGGCAAAGAUUUAUCGCCUUUGGAUGGGCCCGCGUUGGAUUAGGUAGUUGGUAGGGUAAAAGCCGACCAAGGCGACGAUGCAUAGCUGGUAUGAGAGGAUGAUCAGCCACACUGGGACUGAGACACGGCCCAGACUCCUACGGGAGGCAGCAGUGGGGAAUAUUGGACAAGGGGCGAAAGCCUGAUCCAGCAAUGCCGCGUGAGUGAUGAAGGCCUUAGGGUUGUAAAGCUCUUUUACCCGGGAUGAUAAUGACAGUACCGGGAGAAUAAGCUCCGGCUAACUCCGUG